ACCGGCAGCUAGCUCUCUGCAACUAAGCAGGGCUGCACCGUUUAGUACCUGGAUGGGAGGCCACAUGGGAAAGCUAGGUUUCUGCUGGAA
rnacentral:rRNA from 1 species